UACAUAGGGUGCAAGCGUUGUCCGGAAUUACUGGGCGUAAAGAGCGUGUAGGCGGCUUUUUAAGUCGUAACCUUAAAUCCUGGAGCUUAACUCCAGUUCGGGUUCGAUACUGAUAAGCUAGAGAUUGGGAGAGGAAAGUGGAACUCACAGUGUAGCGGUGAAAUGCGUAGAUAUUGUGAGGAACACCCGUGGCGAAGGCGGCUUUCUGGACCAUUUCUGACGCUGAGACGCGAGAGCGUGGGGAUCAAACAGG
rnacentral:rRNA from 1 species